rnacentral:rRNA from 1 species
UAUGUUAUUAUUCUUCGUUGGUUCGUUAAAAAUGGAUAAAUAAAAACUUUGCAUACAAGAAUUAAUAAAAAUGUUAUAACGAAUUUAAUUAAAUGUUUUAUCAUUAUAUAUAAAGAAUUUAUGGCAAGAUAAAGUUAUAUACAACCUCAACUCAUAUGGGACUACCCCCUGAAUUUAAGCAUAUUAAUUAGGGGAGGAAAAGAAACUAACAAGGAUUUUCUUAGUAGCGGCGAGCGAAAAGAAAACAGUUCAGCACUAAGUCACUUUGUCUAUAUGGCAAAUGUGAGAUGCAGUGUAUGGAGCGUCAAUAUUCUAGUAUGAGAAAUUAACGAUUUAAGUCCUUCUUAAAUGAGGCCAUUUACCCAUAGAGGGUGCCAGGCCCGUAUAACGUUAAUGAUUACUAGAUGAUGUUUCCAAAGAGUCGUGUUGCUUGAUAGUGCAGCACUAAGUGGGUGGUAAACUCCAUCUAAAACUAAAUAUAACCAUGAGACCGAUAGUAAACAAGUACCGUGAGGGAAAGUUGAAAAGAACUCUGAAUAGAGAGUUAAACAGUACGUGAAACUGCUUAGAGGUUAAGCCCGAUGAACCUGAAUAUCCGUUAUGGAAAAUUCAUCAUUAAAAUUGUAAUAUUUAAAUAAUAUUAUGAGAAUAGUGUGCAUUUUUUCCAUAUAAGGACAUUGUAAUCUAUUAGCAUAUACCAAAUUUAUCAUAAAAUAUAACUUAUAGUUUAUUCCAAUUAAAUUGCUUGCAUUUUAACACAGAAUAAAUGUUAUUAAUUUGAUAAAGUGCUGAUAGAUUUAUAUGAUUACAGUGCGUUAAUUUUUCGGAAUUAUAUAAUGGCAUAAUUAUCAUUGAUUUUUGUGUUUAUUAUAUGCACUUGUAUGAUUAACAAUGCGAAAGAUUCAGGAUACCUUCGGGACCCGUCUUGAAACACGGACCAAGGAGUCUAACAUAUGUGCAAGUUAUUGGGAUAUAAACCUAAUAGCGUAAUUAACUUGACUAAUAAUGGGAUUAGUUUUUUAGCUAUUUAUAGCUAAUUAACACAAUCCCGGGGCGUUCUAUAUAGUUAUGUAUAAUGUAUAUUUAUAUUAUUUAUGCCUCUAACUGGAACGUACCUUGAGCAUAUAUGCUGUGACCCGAAAGAUGGUGAACUAUACUUGAUCAGGUUGAAGUCAGGGGAAACCCUGAUGGAAGACCGAAACAGUUCUGACGUGCAAAUCGAUUGUCAGAAUUGAGUAUAGGGGCGAAAGACCAAUCGAACCAUCUAGUAGCUGGUUCCUUCCGAAGUUUCCCUCAGGAUAGCUGGUGCAUUUUAAUAUUAUAUAAAAUAAUCUUAUCUGGUAAAGCGAAUGAUUAGAGGCCUUAGGGUCGAAACGAUCUUAACCUAUUCUCAAACUUUAAAUGGGUAAGAACCUUAACUUUCUUGAUAUGAAGUUCAAGGUUAUGAUAUAAUGUGCCCAGUGGGCCACUUUUGGUAAGCAGAACUGGCGCUGUGGGAUGAACCAAACGUAAUGUUACGGUGCCCAAAUUAACAACUCAUGCAGAUACCAUGAAAGGCGUUGGUUGCUUAAAACAGCAGGACGGUGAUCAUGGAAGUCGAAAUCCGCUAAGGAGUGUGUAACAACUCACCUGCCGAAGCAACUAGCCCUUAAAAUGGAUGGCGCUUAAGUUGUAUACCUAUACAUUACCGCUAAAGUAGAUGAUUUAUAUUACUUGUGAUAUAAAUUUUGAAACUUUAGUGAGUAGGAAGGUACAAUGGUAUGCGUAGAAGUGUUUGGCGUAAGCCUGCAUGGAGCUGCCAUUGGUACAGAUCUUGGUGGUAGUAGCAAAUAAUCGAAUGAGACCUUGGAGGACUGAAGUGGAGAAGGGUUUCGUGUGAACAGUGGUUGAUCACGAGUUAGUCGGUCCUAAGUUCAAGGCGAAAGCCGAAAAUUUUCAAGUAAAACAAAAAUGCCUAACUAUAUAAACAAAGCGAAUUAUAAUACACUUGAAUAAUUUUGAACGAAAGGGAAUACGGUUCCAAUUCCGUAACCUGUUGAGUAUCCGUUUGUUAUUAAAUAUGGGCCUCGUGCUCAUCCUGGCAACAGGAACGACCAUAAAGAAGCCGUCGAGAGAUAUCGGAAGAGUUUUCUUUUCUGUUUUAUAGCCGUACUACCAUGGAAGUCUUUCGCAGAGAGAUAUGGUAGAUGGGCUAGAAGAGCAUGACAUAUACUGUUGUGUCGAUAUUUUCUCCUCGGACCUUGAAAAUUUAUGGUGGGGACACGCAAACUUCUCAACAGGCCGUACCAAUAUCCGCAGCUGGUCUCCAAGGUGAAGAGUCUCUAGUCGAUAGAAUAAUGUAGGUAAGGGAAGUCGGCAAAUUAGAUCCGUAACUUCGGGAUAAGGAUUGGCUCUGAAGAUUGAGAUAGUCGGGCUUGAUUGGGAAACAAUAACAUGGUUUAUGUGCUCGUUCUGGGUAAAUAGAGUUUCUAGCAUUUAUGUUAGUUACUUGUUCCCCGGAUAGUUUAGUUACGUAGCCAAUUGUGGAACUUUCUUGCUAAAAUUUUUAAGAAUACUAUUUGGGUUAAACCAAUUAGUUCUUAUUAAUUAUAACGAUUAUCAAUUAACAAUCAAUUCAGAACUGGCACGGACUUGGGGAAUCCGACUGUCUAAUUAAAACAAAGCAUUGUGAUGGCCCUAGCGGGUGUUGACACAAUGUGAUUUCUGCCCAGUGCUCUGAAUGUCAAAGUGAAGAAAUUCAAGUAAGCGCGGGUCAACGGCGGGAGUAACUAUGACUCUCUUAAGGUAGCCAAAUGCCUCGUCAUCUAAUUAGUGACGCGCAUGAAUGGAUUAACGAGAUUCCUACUGUCCCUAUCUACUAUCUAGCGAAACCACAGCCAAGGGAACGGGCUUGGAAUAAUUAGCGGGGAAAGAAGACCCUUUUGAGCUUGACUCUAAUCUGGCAGUGUAAGGAGACAUAAGAGGUGUAGAAUAAGUGGGAGAUAUUAGACCUCGGUUUGGUAUCGUCAAUGAAAUACCACUACUCUUAUUGUUUCCUUACUUACUUGAUUAAAUGGAACGUGUAUCAUUUCCUAGCCAUUAUACGGAUAUAUUUAUUAUAUCUUAUGGUAUUGGGUUUUGAUGCAAGCUUCUUGAUCAAAGUAUCACGAGUUUGUUAUAUAAUCGCAAACAAAUUCUUUAAUAAAACGAUGCAUUUAUGUAUUUUUGAUUUGAAAAUUUGGUAUAACUCCAAUUACUCAGGUAUGAUCCAAUUCAAGGACAUUGCCAGGUAGGGAGUUUGACUGGGGCGGUACAUCUCUCAAAUAAUAACGGAGGUGUCCCAAGGCCAGCUCAGUGCGGACAGAAACCACACAUAGAGCAAAAGGGCAAAUGCUGACUUGAUCUCGGUGUUCAGUACACACAGGGACAGCAAAAGCUCGGCCUAUCGAUCCUUUUGGUUUAAAGAGUUUUUAACAAGAGGUGUCAGAAAAGUUACCAUAGGGAUAACUGGCUUGUGGCGGCCAAGCGUUCAUAGCGACGUCGCUUUUUGAUCCUUCGAUGUCGGCUCUUCCUAUCAUUGUGAAGCAAAAUUCACCAAGCGUUGGAUUGUUCACCCAUGCAAGGGAACGUGAGCUGGGUUUAGACCGUCGUGAGACAGGUUAGUUUUACCCUACUAAUGACAAAACGUUGUUGCGACAGCAUUCCUGCGUAGUACGAGAGGAACCGCAGGUACGGACCAAUGGCACAAUACUUGUUCGAGCGAACAGUGGUAUGACGCUACGUCCGUUGGAUUAUGCCUGAACGCCUCUAAGGUCGUAUCCGUGCUGGACUGCAAUGAUAAAUAAGGGGCAAUUUGCAUUGUAUGGCUUCUAAACCAUUUAAAGUUUAUAAUUUACUUUAUAAACGACAAUGGAUGUGAUGCCAAUGUAAUUUGUAACAUAGUAAAUUGGGAGGAUCUUCGAUCACCUGAUGCCGCGCUAGUUACAUAUAAAAGCAUUAUUU